UGCCAGCAGCCGCGGUAAUACAGAGGGUGCAAGCGUUAAUCGGAAUGACUGGGCGUAAAGGGCGUGUAGGUGGAUACAUUAGUCAAAGGUGAAAUCCCCGGGCUUAACCUGGGAACUGCCUCUGAAACUGUGUAUCUAGAGUAUAGGAGAGGGAAGUGGAAUUUCCGGUGUAGCGGUGAAAUGCGUAGAUAUCGGAAGGAACACCAGUGGCGAAGGCGGCUUCCUGGCCUAAUACUGACACUGAGGCGCGAAAGCGUGGGUAGCAAACAGGAUUAGAUA
rnacentral:rRNA from 1 species